rnacentral:rRNA from 3 species
UACGGAGGGGGCUAGCGUUGUUCGGAAUUACUGGGCGUAAAGCGCACGUAGGCGGCUUUGUAAGUUAGAGGUGAAAGCCCGGGGCUCAACCCCGGAAUAGCCUUUAAGACUGCAUCGCUUGAACACGGGAGAGGUGAGUGGAAUUCCGAGUGUAGAGGUGAAAUUCGUAGAUAUUCGGAAGAACACCAGUGGCGAAGGCGGCUCACUGGACCGUUGUUGACGCUGAGGUGCGAAAGCGUGGGGAGCAAACAGG